GCGGGCAUAGUUCAGUGGUAGAACUAUAGCCUUCCAAGCUAUUAAUGUCGGUUCGAUUCCGAUUGCCCGCUCCA
rnacentral:tRNA from 1 species